rnacentral:rRNA from 1 species
GAUCAUGGCUCAGAUUGAACGCUGGCGGCAGGCCUAACACAUGCAAGUCGAACGGUAACAGGAAACAGCUUGCUGUUUCGCUGACGAGUGGCGGACGGGUGAGUAAUGUCUGGGAAACUGCCUGAUGGAGGGGGUAUAACUACUGGAAACGGUAGCUAAUACCGCAUAAUGUCGCAAGACCAAAGAGGGGGGACCUUCGGGCCGUCUUGCCAUCGGAUGUGCCCGAGAUGGGAUUAGCUAG